rnacentral:tRNA from 1 species
GCCUUCGUGGUGUAGUGGUCAGCACACUCGGCGCGUAACCGAGAGGUCCGUGGUUCGAUUCCCGGCGAAGGCG